CCUUCAGCCCUCUUGAGGUAAUCCCUAUGGGAUCUUAGGCAAGACCUUCUCCAGUGCCUAGAAGGCCUAGGCCUCUGAACUACCUUGUCUAGCAACUUUGAGUCAGGCAGGAUUCCCUUCUCCCAGUGGCUCCAGGGCUUCGGGGACCCUCACUCUGAGUGCUUCUGCUGUUACUGGCAGGAUACAGAGAAAAGAGGUCUUCCCUUCUCCUUACCAGAAUUGUUUGAGCUCUGAGAAGCAGUUUCCCCUGCGAGCCCCUCGCUCUCGGGCCAAGCCGCUCAAAUACCUGCGGCUUUGCCGCUGCGUGGGAGCCCGCGUGGGUUUUUCUCGGCUGUCGCUUCUUCAUUCCCCUAGCUCCGUCCGGAUACCUGCAUGGCUGCGGAGCACCCAAAGAGCCAAACAGGGAGACGUGCUGCUCUGAACUUCCCAUGACCUCCUCUGCACCGCGCUCACCGCUCUGCGCAAGAAGGAACCCGGCGCGGGAUUCCGGAGAAGUCACGGGCGAGCCUCAGGAUUGCAGACCAUUGGGAUGGAGACUGGAGAUAAGUGCAGAAAACUUGUGUGUGGUACACUUUUCUAGAACUAGCGAACCCAUCAAAAGAGAUGGUCCUAGGGUUGCAAAUGCGUCCCUCUAUAUGUAAAGAGAUGUCGUAAGGGCACCCGUGUGCAAACAUUGACACCAAGUUCUUAUUACGCAUGACGCUUAAAUUUUGUUGUAGUGUUGGAGACAAAUGCGCUGAAUCCAAGCACGCAUCUCUAAAAGAGUUCCACACUGAUUAGUUGAAAGGGCCACAAAGAAAAGAAUCCAGGACUAGGUGACCGCUGAGCAAUGUCACAAAGUGGCUCCAGCCAGCUCUCAGCCUCCAGUGUCUCCACACCCAGGACAGGAGGAGGGCGUAGGUGGGUUUUUCCAGCUUGUGGGUGUUAAACGCUUUCUCCAGUUUCCGAUUUUAUGCUUUUAAAAAUGCACUUAAACCUCUAUCAAAAAGAAAAUCGGCCAAAUUGCUUAGAAAUACAAAUUGCGCUCUGAUCGAUACAAGGUCAAGAUAGGUCAGCAGUGGGCAGAGGCGGCUCCACCAGAGAUGUUAGAAAUGAGUAACAACCCACAAAUUUCGUUCUUACUAAAGAAAUAGGUAAAGGGAAUCAAAGGGUAAUAGUUACUAUUACAGUCACUGAAAAACUCCAAUUAAUUUAAUGUGUUUCAGAUUUAUAUGUAUGUAAUCACAGUACUUUUAUUCUGCCUAGCUAUUUCCAUUAAGUUUUAAUAUCUUAUUAAAGUUCCCUGGGUAAAUUUUCUGAGUUUUUAUGUGAGCGGAGAUUACCUUAACCAGAAGCAAAGUUUAACAUAAUUUCCUUAGACGCAGUUAAGUCUGUAUCUUCUGCCAACAUUUUUAAAUGCAGGAAGAAGUGAAAGGAGGUAAGGAAAAUUCUAGGGAAGCACCUACUACGUGCAGGCACCGGAUAAGACUAGCUUAAACAUUUUAUUUCACAUUAAUAACUGCCUAUCCGUAAAAGAUCUUUUUUUAAAAAGCCUGAAAUGUCCAUCUUCUUCCUCCAAACUAAAGUGUACAGCUUACGUAAUUUUAUUUUAUUCGCAAGAAUUUCGUUUUUAAUACUUCCUUAUUGGAAGUGAAAAACAGCCAAAGAAAAUGAAAAGAUCCAUACUUAGUAAUAUUUAAGGUUUUGUUUUGUUUUUUUCAAAAAACGGACUACACCGUUUAGUAUUCGUAUUUGUCAAAAAAAAAAAAAAAAAAGCGGAGUUGUGGCUUAGCUCAUGGUGAUUUUUUUUCCUAACUCUUUCAGUUUCUGUAAAAAUAAAGCCCUAUCAGUAUUGGGAAGGAGACCGGGCUUGUAAUUAGGAACACGUCCUUGUUGGGGGGCGAAGGGAAGUACGGAAGGAGGAAGGGUGAGAGACAGAGAGACAGAGACAGAGAGAGCGCUGCUCACACACAAACAAUGCACAAUUAACCGUGGCUGUACAUUAAAAGGAACUAAAAACUAGUUGUUUUUGCGAGGGUAUGUAAACUGCGGCGUAGAGGCUAAGGUGAGAGGGCUAUGCAUUGUUGUAGGAGAUAUGAUUGAAGCAAGCACCUGAAAAAGAAAAAUAAGACAGAAAGUAAUCGUGAAGAAAGGGGAGGGGGAGAGAAGAGAAUCAGGUGAGAACAAGGAACAGCGGCCAGAAACUGUGGGAAGCAGUCAAAUCUCCACAUUUUCAGCUCUUUUAAUUAAUGGGAUGGGGGGAGGUCUCACUAUAAUUGGGAAUAAAUGGUUGUCUGAUGGAAGUCUAUUAGUUAUUCUAUUUGUGCUGGGGUGGGGGGUUUGUUUGUUUUUCCAGAUUCUCAAAAAAGUUAUUUCGAGAUACAACCAAAUGUUUUGACUGGGUGAUCGAAAGCCAGGCGAAGCAUUUCCUGCUGUGAUUGCCGGGAGGUGAACAGCCUUACACCCAACGCACCCCACGCCCAGCAGCCUGAGGAGUAGCGCCCUGCAGCCCACGCCUGGGCAAGCGCGAUGGGGGACACAGAGUUCAGUUCGGAGGCCUGGCUUUAGACUUGCUUUGGUUUUCUUCGGGAAGGGGAAAUGGGCGUAGUUCUGUGUGGAUUUUCACUUUAGAAACUUGGGAAACUGGGUGGUUUUCAACUGGGCUUCUGGUGGCCGAGGCUCCCUUGCCUCUCCGGGUGUCACAGGAGCGCGAGGCGAGAGGCGCUACUUUCGACGAACCUCCCUCUCCCCAGCCUUGAAUGGGGACGCGCCUCCGCCGGCUUUGAAGGCGACUUGGCGACCUCAGUGCCCCGCGGCUCGGCACCGGUCCAGCCCCGCUCAGGGAGAAGCCCACUUGGGAGUCUCUUCCCUCGGAGCGAGUCAGUGCCCAGGCACUCCCCGGACACUGAGUUCAGGAGCUCCCUGCUGCGGGCCCCUUUCUUUACUUACCCUCGUUUUCUUUGGAAGCAUUCCCCCGCCCCUC